rnacentral:rRNA from 1 species
GGUUAAGCGACUAAGCGUACACGGUGGAUGCCCUGGCAGUCAGAGGCGAUGAAGGACGUGCUAAUCUGCGAAAAGCGUCGGUAAGGUGAUAUGAACCGUUAUAACCGGCGAUGUCCGAAUGGGGAAACCCAGUGCAAUUCGUUGCACUAUCGUUAACUGAAUACAUAGGUUAACGAGGCGAACCGGGGGAACUGAAACAUCUAAGUACCCCGAGGAAAAGAAAUCAACCGAGAUUCCCCCAGUAGCGGCGAGCGAACGGGGAGCAGCCCAGAGUCUGAAUCAGCUUGUGUGUUAGUGGAACGGUCUGGAAAGUCCGACGGUACAGGGUGAUAGUCCCGUACACCAAAAUGCACAGGCUGUGAACUCGAAGAGUAGGGCGGGACACGUGGUAUCCUGUCUGAAUAUGGGGGACCAUCCUCCAAGGCUAAAUACUCCUGACUGACCGAUAGUGAACCAGUACCGUGAGGGAAAGGCGAAAAACCCCGGCGAGGGGAGUGAAGUGAAAAAGAACCUGAAACCGUGUACGUACAAGCAGUGGGAGCACCUUCGGGUGUGACUGCGUACCUUUGUAUAAUGGGUCAGCGACUUAUAUUCUGUAGCAAGGUUAACCGUAUAGGGGAGCCGCAGGGAAACCGAGUCUUAACUGGGCGUUAAGUUGCAGGGUAUAGACCCGAAACCCGGUGAUCUAGCCAUGGGCAGGUUGAAGGUUGGGUAACACUAACUGGAGGACCGAACCGACUAAUGUUGAAAAAUUAGCGGAUGACUUGUGGCUGGGGGUGAAAGGCCAAUCAAACCGGGAGAUAGCUGGUUCUCCCCGAAAGCUAUUUAGGUAGCGCCUCGUGAAUUCAUCUUCGGGGUAGAGCACUGUUUCGGCUAGGGGUCAUCCCGACUUACCAACCCGAUGCAAACUACGAAUACCGAAGAAUGUUAUCACGGGAGACACACGGCGGGUGCUAACGUCCGUCGUGAAGAGGGAAACAACCCAGACCGCCAGCUAAGGUCCCAGUCAUGGUUAAGUGGGAAACGAUGUGGGAAGGCACAGACAGCGAGGAUGUUGGCUUAGAAGCAGCCAUCAUUUAAAGAAAGCGUAAUAGCUCACUGGUCGAGUCGGCCUGCGCGGAAGAUGUAACGGGGCUAAACCAUGCACCGAAGCUGCGGCAGCGACACUAUGUGUUGUUGGGUAGGGGAGCGUUCUGUAAGCCUGCGAAGGUGUGCUGUGAGGCAUGCUGGAGGUAUCAGAAGUGCGAAUGCUGACAUAAGUAACGAUAAAGCGGGUGAAAAGCCCGCUCGCCGGAAGACCAAGGGUUCCUGUCCAACGUUAAUCGGGGCAGGGUGAGUCGACCCCUAAGGCGAGGCCGAAAGGCGUAGUCGAUGGGAAACAGGUUAAUAUUCCUGUACUUGGUGUUACUGCGAAGGGGGGACGGAGAAGGCUAUGUUAGCCGGGCGACGGUUGUCCCGGUUUAAGCAUGUAGGCUGAUUGUCCAGGCAAAUCCGGAUAAUCAAGGCUGAGGUGUGAUGACGAGGCACUACGGUGCUGAAGUAACAAAUGCCCUGCUUCCGGGAAAAGCCUCUAAGCAUCAGGUAACAUCAAAUCGUACCCCAAACCGACACAGGUGGUCAGGUAGAGAAUACCAAGGCGCUUGAGAGAACUCGGGUGAAGGAACUAGGCAAAAUGGUGCCGUAACUUCGGGAGAAGGCACGCUGGUGUGUAGGUGAAGUCCCUGCGGAUGGAGCUGAGACCAGUCGAAGAUACCAGCUGGCUGCAACUGUUUAUUAAAAACACAGCACUGUGCAAACACGAAAGUGGACGUAUACGGUGUGACGCCUGCCCGGUGCCGGAAGGUUAAUUGAUGGGGUUAUCCGUAAGGAGAAGCUCUUGAUCGAAGCCCCGGUAAACGGCGGCCGUAACUAUAACGGUCCUAAGGUAGCGAAAUUCCUUGUCGGGUAAGUUCCGACCUGCACGAAUGGCGUAAUGAUGGCCGGGCUGUCUCCACCCGAGACUCAGUGAAAUUGAACUCGCUGUGAAGAUGCAGUGUACCCGCGGCAAGACGGAAAGACCCCGUGAACCUUUACUAUAGCUUGACACUGAACAUUGAGCCUUGAUGUGUAGGAUAGGUGGGAGGCUUUGAAGCGUGGACGCCAGUCUGCGUGGAGCCAACCUUGAAAUACCACCCUUUAAUGUUUGAUGUUCUAACGUUGGCCCCUUACCGGGGUUGCGGACAGUGUCUGGUGGGUAGUUUGACUGGGGCGGUCUCCUCCCAAAGCGUAACGGAGGAGCACGAAGGUUAGCUAAUCUGGUCGGACAUCAGGAGGUUAGUGCAAUGGCAUAAGCUAGCUUGACUGCGAGCGUGACGGCGCGAGCAGGUGCGAAAGCAGGUCAUAGUGAUCCGGUGGUUCUGAAUGGAAGGGCCAUCGCUCAACGGAUAAAAGGUACUCCGGGGAUAACAGGCUGAUACCGCCCAAGAGUUCAUAUCGACGGCGGUGUUUGGCACCUCGAUGUCGGCUCAUCACAUCCUGGGGCUGAAGUAGGUCCCAAGGGUAUGGCUGUUCGCCAUUUAAAGUGGUACGCGAGCUGGGUUUAGAACGUCGUGAGACAGUUCGGUCCCUAUCUGCCGUGGGCGCUGGAGAAUUGAGGGGGCUGCUCCUAGUACGAGAGGACCGGAGUGGACGCAUCACUGGUGUUCGGGUUGUCAUGCCAAUGGCACUGCCCGGUAGCUAAAUGCGGAAGAGAUAAGUGCUGAAAGCAUCUAAGCACGAAACUUGCCCCGAGAUGAGUUCUCCCUGAGACUUUAAGUCUCCUGAAGGAACGUUAAAGACGAUGACGUUGAUAGGCCGGGUGUGUAAGCGCAGCGAUGCGUUGAGCUAACCGGUACUAAUGAACCGUGAGGCUUAACCUU